rnacentral:rRNA from 1 species
UACGUAGGGUGCGAGCGUUAAUCGGGAUUACUGGGCGUAAAGCGUGCGCAGGCGGUGAUGUAAGACAGAUGUGAAAUCCCCGGGCUCAACCUGGGAACUGCAUUUGUGACUGCAUCGCUGGAGUGCGGCAGAGGGGGAUGGAAUUCCGCGUGUAGCAGUGAAAUGCGUAGAUAUGCGGAGGAACACCGAUGGCGAAGGCAAUCCCCUGGGCCUGCACUGACGCUCAUGCACGAAAGCGUGGGGAGCAAACAGG